GACAGCUUGGCCGAGCGGUUAAGGCGAUAGACUAGAAAUCUAUUGGGUCACCCGCGUGAGUUCAAAUCUCACAGCUGUCG
rnacentral:tRNA from 1 species